rnacentral:tRNA from 1 species
AAAGCUUUAAGUUAAAAAAACUAUUAACCUUCAAAGUUAAAAAUAUAUCAUAUAUAAGCUUUA